rfam:Hyphomonadaceae bacterium TKL13-1, complete genome.
UGGAGAUCGGCGGUGGACGUAGUCCUCGCCAAUUCGGUCAGGUCCGGAAGGAAGCAGCCGCAACGAGUUUCGCUAUGGGUCGCCGUUCGGUCUCCACCC